UUGUUUAAUAAAGCCAGCGCCAGAAAUGCAUAUUAAUACCAUCUAGUGGUAGGAAUUUAAUACUGUUUUAAAUCUGUAACAACACUCUAUGCAUUAUAUACUUUAUGGUGGAGGUCUAUUGUUGUACAAAUACAUUAGUGUGGUCAGGGCUGUCAUAUGUAUGUACAUUGAUGUGCGUGAAUGGACUGAAAACAAAUGUGUUGCAGUCACUAUUCAUAACCACAGUUGUAAUCGGAGUAUGAUUUUUAAAUAUUUUUAAACACCGUAUUAUAGAUUUUUUGCCAAAAAUCUUGUAUCUGGCAGAAGUUUGUUAACAUGGCCAGUACUUCUUCAGAGCAAAAUAAUAUCGCACAAAAAA